GAGUUUGAUCGUGGCUCAGGAUGAACGCUGGCGGCGUGCCUAAUACAUGCAAGUCGAGCGGACGGACGAGAAGCUUGCUUCUCUGAUGUUAGCGGCGGACGGGUGAGUAACACGUGGAUAACCUACCUAUAAGACUGGGAUAACUUCGGGAAACCGGAGCUAAUACCGGAUAAUAUUUUGAACCGCAUGGUUCAAAAGUGAAAGACGGUCUUGCUGUCACUUAUAGAUGGAUCCGCGCUGCAUUAGCUAGUUGGUAAGGUAACGGCUUACCAAGGCAACGAUGCAUAGCCGACCUGAGAGGGUGAUCGGCCACACCGGAACUGAGACACGGUCCAGACUCCUACGGGAGGCAGGCAGUAGGGAAUCUUCCGCAAUGGGCGAAAGCCUGACGGAGCAACGCCGCGUGAGUGAUGAAGGUCUUCGGAUCGUGAAACUCUGUUAUUAGGGAAGAACAUAUGUGUAAGUAACUGUGCACAUCUUGACGGUACCUAAUCAGAAAGCC
rnacentral:rRNA from 1 species